AUUGAACGCUGGCGGCAGGCCUAACACAUGCAAGUCGAGCGGAGCGGCGGACGGGUGAGUAAUGCCUAGGAAUCUGCCUGGUAGUGGGGGAUAACGUCCGGAAACGGGCGCUAAUACCGCAUACUAUCAGAUGAGCCUAGGUCGGAUUAGCUAGUUGGUGGGGUAAAGGCCUACCAAGGCGACGAUCCGUAACUUGUCUGCGAGGAUGAUCAGUCACUCUGAAACGGAGACACGUGCCAGAGUCCUACGGGAGGCAGCAGUGGGGAAUAGUGGACAAUGGGCGAAAGCCUGAUCCACGCAUGCCGCGUGUGUGAAGAAGGUCUUCGGAUUGUAAAGCACUUUAAGUUGGGAGGCGUUACCAACAGAAUAAGCACCGGCUACCUUCGUGCCAGCAGCCGCGUAAUUC
rnacentral:rRNA from 1 species